CCCGCGGAGUGGAACGGGGCCGGUGGAAUGCACAGGGUCGCAGUGCCUGGGUCACCCUCGGUCAGAGGCCAGCGAGCAAACGGGCGCCCCAGAGCCUUGCUGAGAGACAGGAGUGCAAGCGAACACCUGCGGCUGGCAGCCAGUGCACGCGCAGAAACGACACUUCAGGACCCAGCACAGUCUUAUUUGGCCGGGACCACUGGCUCUGCGGAGCUGACUUGCCCAUUCCCUCUACCACACUGUGUCCCUCACCCUGUCUCACCUAGUCCCGGGAAAGCUGGGGACUUCCCAAAUCAUCUUCUGCUGCCAGUAACAUAGGUCGAGGCUGGGAGUCGGGAGACUUGAGUUCUAGUUUACAGGCUGUGUAAACCCGGGUAGUCACCCCUCAGCUCUGCGCCUUGCGCUCGCUUUUCUUGGGUCACCAUUUGUAAAAUGGGCCUCCUGCUCCUGUUGCCUGCAUACCCCGUGGGACAGAAGGAGAAAGGGGGAUUGGACCUGGGAGUCUCUUAUCUCGAAAAUAAGUGAGUUUAGUCCUUGCAUGAAAGCCCACCGAAGUAUCCCCUCCUAAAAUCCUCUCCCGCUCCCCACUAAUUUGCAUAUAAGGAAACUGAUACCCCAGGGGAGAUGAUUUACCUAAGGUUACAACAGAGACCAAAUAGAAUUAGAACCGAAGUUUCCUCAGUCCUAGCCCAGGGCUCUCUCCACUUCACCUACAAAGGCAUAUUGUAAACGUGUGAGCGCCUCCUUGUUUCCUUGCAUCCGUCCACUUUGUCUGUUCCUGAUGGAGGAGACCCAUGCUGGGGGCCUGGAAACUGCUUUCAGAUUUUCUUGACUCCUUGAGAUGAUAACCAUCACCUUCUCCAUCCCUCACUUACUCCAUACCUCUCAAAGCACGUCCAUAAAUUUAAUGUGCGAGUGGUCAAAAUACCUUCUGAGAGGGAAGAAAGACAAGAAACUCCAUCUUAUUGAUGAGGAAAAUGAGGCCUAGAGUGAUACUCAACCAAAAUGCAUGACUAGACGUGUUGGCAUAGUAGGGGCAGGAACCCAGGUCUCCUGAUUCCCCCUCUGAUGUGUUCUCCACCAGCUACAGGACUACGGAAUGGUACCCCUCAAUGAUAAAGGACUGCAGGGAUGAUCAGAGAGGGUGGGAAACAAGGAAGGCUUCUGGAGAAGGUGAGGUUCCUGGGAAUCAAGAAGAAUAAGAACCUCCUGGUUGCUUCUGAGGCUAGGAGAGCUGGGGUGGGAAAGGAGACAUAGAGAUGGCUGUUCUUGAUAAUAUGGGGGGAAAGGAAAGAUAUGGAGACAGAAAAGGAAACAGUGUGACCAGGCCUGCCUGAUAAUUUUCUUGUAUGUUUGCAAUUUCUAAAACUUUCCCAUCUCUUGUCUCCUCCAGUUCUCAUGUGAGUUAGGCAGGGCAGGGAUCAUUAUCCCCAUCUUAUAGAUGAGGUUCAGAGGAAGUAAAUGCAGUGCUCAAGGACACAGAGCCAAGAAUACAGCCAAGAUUAGACUCAUGAAAGGAACACUUGAACGGCAAGAUCACAGGCCGAAGGACCGGGGAGUUGGACUGUGUGUGUGUGUGUGCAGUGGGUGGGUGUAUGUAGCCACACCCUGGGUAGGUACACAGGGAAGAGGGUUGCAAAGCCAUUGCUGGUGUUUUGAGGCCAAGAAUGUUUGCCCUUUGGAUUGAAUGGGGUCCAGGUGCAGGGAGCAUCUGGGCUUCCAAAGAAAGCUUAGAAUUCCUCCUCCUGUGACUCACCCCACCUGACUGAGAUGACUUCUUUUCUUUGAGCCAUCCCUUCCCCAGACCAAAUGAAAUCUGUUUUGCCCUUCCCUGGAGGUUGCUUUUUAAAUAUUGUAAGCUGUUUUCAUGAAUGUAUAUGUGUGUGCCAGAGCAGAGGAAUGUUCUUAGAGAAGAGACAUUGAUUCAUUUAUUCUUGAAUGCCUGCUAGGUAUCAGGGCUGGGAAAUAAAGAAAUGUAUGAGGCACAGGACCCUGCCCUCUUACCUCAAAGUACAGUUACACACACACACACACACACACACACACACACACAAUGUCAGUACAGCAUAGUGCUCUAAUAAGGCUUCGUGCAAAGCACUUUUGGGAAAAAAACAAGAGGGAGAGACUAACUGGCUAGGGAGUGAGGAAGGAGGUGUCCCAGGAGAAGGUCUACAGAGAUGAAUUAGAGCUGGGUCUUGAAGGAUGAGAAGGAGUUUGCUGGGCAGGCAAAAAGAGGAAGGGCAUUCUUGUUUAAGAAAACAGCAUGAACAAAGGCAAGAGAUGUGCAAGUGCAAGGAGUAUUUGGAGAGUGGCCUGUAGUUCAGUGUCAUGGGUGCAGGCCACUGAGAAGAGCUAUGGGGAGAUGAGGCCAGUGCCAGAGUCACAUUUCAAGGCGUUUCAGUGGUAAUCAGAAGAGUUUAGAGUCUGCCCUACUGACAGAAGGGAACUUAUAGUGGAAAGGUCUGUGGAGGGGAAGUCAAGAUACUUGGUUUCUGGCUCCAACUCUGCCACUACUGGGCUGUGAGACUUUAAGCAGGUGACUGCCUUGGGGAGGAGGGUCUAUUUUCCCACUGGUUGAAUGAGGGGGUUGCACCAACAACAUGAUCAUGAAGAUUUCUUCCAGCUCAGAUUCUAUUCCUUUGUCCUUCCAACUGGAUGCUAGGGGCUACUCCUUCAACUCCUCUCCCACUCCACCAGCUCUCCAGCCCACAGGAGUGACACUGAAGACGCUCAUUCGGAAAGAGGAGCUGAAAUGGAGCAAUGGGAAAGAAAGACCCAAGGGUAGAGUUUCACUUUUCCCCAGAGCAACCUGAACGAAAACCCCACUAAGAUCCCCAGUUCAUCCCUCAGAUCACAGCUUUAUUCCCCAAAUAGGGGUUGGACAAGUGCAAGGCAAGUGCAUUUUGUGAGAACCUGUUAAUGUGUGGGAAAUAGCAGGAACAGAGAGUGAACCUGGCUCAUCUAGGGAAUCAGGAGUAGGUCUGGAGCAGCGGAGUGCAUGGGAGAUGAGAGCAUAAAGGAAGGCUACCUCCUCCUCUGAAGCUUACCAAGCUCCAUCUCACUGGGUCCUUGACUAAGAUUGGUGGGAAUCUGUGGUGCACGAAAAGGCCAUAGUAACAAAGUUAGAGGAGAUGAUGCCCCAUGACACUAGGAGGCUGUGUCUGGUGUGAUGUGAAGCUUAGAUGUGAGGAAACACUGCCAUUUGUAGUGGAAAGAGCACCUGAACAGUACCCCCAAACACCUGGGUUCUUGUCUGAGUGCUGCCAUUUAUGGGCCAUGUCAUUUUGGACUAGUCACUUCUCCCUUCUGAGCCUCAGUUCCCUCAUCUACGAAAUGGAGGGUUGGCCUGGAAUCUAGAUUCUAGAAGAUCCUUAAAGUCCCUGUCAGCUUGGCCAUCUGCUCACCUUCUUUCCUCACUGGCCUAUCUUCUAUUUCAAGGCAAGACCUCUCCAGGGCAGGAGCUCUGUCUUCCCCAUCCAAGGAUCUUGGUAAUCGGGGACUCUCCUGGACAGGGAAGCCAAGGAACUCAGAAACAGUGGCAAAACUCCCCUGUUCCUGACUGCCAGUCCCCAGCUUGAGCCCCAGAGGCAGUCCCAGAGCCCCAUAGAGAACCAACCUGUGCUUUCAUCAGCUUUCUGCCUCUCCUAAUUCAGACAGGAGGCCCUUGCACCCAGGCCCUCCCUCCCACACAAACCCAGCACCUAGAGGUGUGGAACUAUGGCCUCUUUCCUCCUCCUGUCAGAAUCACAAACAUCCUAGUCUAUCCAGAGAGGCCCUGAGGUGUGAAAGGUCUCAUGAAUCUUUAUUCCCCUCAUGGAACACUGCCUCAAAGCCCCCGCUGACCUCCACACUGUCCCCUUCUCCCACUUU